rnacentral:rRNA from 1 species
CAGUCGCCACGGGAAUACGAAGGGGGCUAGCGUUGUUCGGAUUAACUGGGCGUAAAGGGCGCGUAGGCGGGUUUUUAAGUCAGAGGUGAAAUCCCAAGGCUCAACCUUGGAACUGCCUUUGAUACUGGAAGUCUUGAGUCCGGGAGAGGUGAGUGGAACUGCGAGUGUAGAGGUGAAAUUCGUAAAUAUUCGCAAGAACACCAGUGGCGAAGGCGGCUCACUGGCCCGGUACUGACGCUGAGGCGCGAAAGCGUGGGGAGCAAACAGGAUUAGAUACCCGAGUAGUCCCUGUCUCUUAUAC